CGAAUACGCUAUUAUAUGUUUGCACUUCUUUUUGUUGUUUUUGAUGCGGAAACCGUCUUUCUAUACGCUUGGGCAAUGAGUUUUGACGUAUUGGGUGUGCUCCUUUAUCUUAAAAGAAUGGACUAA
rnacentral:rRNA from 1 species